AUUAAAAUGAAUUAUUUUUUUUAGAUUUUUGCCAAAACCCUUGUACUUUUUUUUUACCAACAUUGAUUAAAUGAGUGUAAUUAAUACCUAUAAAGAAAAGUUUUAAACCUUUUUUAUCUCUUUCGGUUGCACAUUCACUCGGUUGGUCGCUUCGGCUCACACGCGCUUUUUACACUAACCGUUUAUUUAGUUGUUGUUGGAUACACCCAAAAAAGCAUCCAUCCGUUGUCGUUUGAAAAUUUUCAACAAAAUUAAAACAAAAAAACAUUUAUUGUUGUGUUUUCGGAAGCAUUCAUUGUUGGAAGAAACACAACAGAAUCGAACGAAAUUAAAAAACAUAUUCGUCGUUACGACGUUUGCAGAGCAGGCGCACAGAAAUUUUAGUUAGCCAGAGAGGAACAACACAUACUGACUAUAAAUAUGAGGGAACAACAACAACGACCAGAAAAUAUACAGAGCAAAAAGCUCUCAAGAGAGUAGAAAAAUAAUAUUGAACAAGAAACUAAACAAAAAAAUAAAAUCAUGACAAUAAACAAACAGGUUGAGUUGUCAAGUAAGCGAUUUUAAUACAAAUAUUG